CACGUAGGGGGCGAGCGUUGUCCGGAUUUAUUGGGCGUAAAGAGCUCGUAGGCGGCUCAGUAAGUCGGGUGUGAAACCUCCAGGCUCAACCUGGAGACGCCACCUGAUACUGCUGUGGCUGGAGUCCGGUAGGGGAGCGUGGAAUUCCUGGUGUAGCGGUGAAAUGCGCAGAUAUCAGGAAGAACACCCGUGGCGAAGGCGGCUCUCUGGGACGGUACUGACGCUGAGACGCGAAAGCGUGGGGAGCGAACAGG
rnacentral:rRNA from 1 species